GGGGAUGUAGCUCAGUUGGCAGAGUGCUUGUCUAGCAUACAUGAGGCCCUGAGUUCGAUCCCCAGUGUCCAUA
rnacentral:tRNA from 1 species